CCUACGGGGUGCAGCAGUGGGGGAUAUUGCACAAUGGGGGGAACCCUGAUGCAGCGACGCCGCGUGGGUGAAGGAGCGUUUCGGCGCGUAAAGCCCUAACGGCAGGGAAGAAGAUGACGGUACCUGACCAAGAAGCCCCGGCUAACGACGGUCAAGCCGCCGCGGUAAUACGUAGGUGGCAAGCGGUGUCCGGAUUUACUGGGUGGACAGGGCGUGUAGCCGGGCUGACAAGGCAGAUGUGAAUUCCGGGGGCUAAACCCCCGAACUGCAUUUGAAACUGUUGGUCUUGAGUAUCGGAGAGGCAGGCGGAAUGCCUAGUGUAGCGAUGAAAUGCGUAGAUAUUAGGAGGAACACCAGUGGCGAAGGCGGCCUGCUGGACGACAACUGACGGUGAGGCGCGAAAGCGUGGGGAGCAAACAGGAUUAGAUACCCCUGUAGUC
rnacentral:rRNA from 1 species